AGAGGAGAAGGGAAGGGCCCGAAUCAGCUUCACCAUGAGAUGGCCUUGAGGAUGGAAGUUUGUACUAGGAUGAAACCUUGUACUAAGAUGAUGGAGCAGACAGAUGAAAGAUGGAGGCACUGGUGAAAGAGAGUUGAAAUUAAUUCUGACACAGGAAGCAAAAGUGGAAGUGAAAAACUAAUAAAGAGAUGACUACAGCAUUCCACGUGAGAGAUGAAGUUGAUGUGGACCAGGACAAAUGGUGGAAGUGGUGGGAGGUGUAAGAUACCAAAUAUACUUUGAAGGUAAUGUUAAGAGCACAUGUCAGUGCCCUUUGUGGGGAACUAAAGGGAAAGAACAAAAUCAAGGAUGACUUCAUUUUCUGGGAUAAGCAGAUGAAUGAGAGCUGUCCUUUUCUGAAUGGGAGGCCCGGGAAAGGAUUAUGGGCUAAAUCAAGAUUCUGUUUUGGUCCUAAGCAUAAUAAGAUUGAGAUCCCCAUUUAACAUCCAUGUAGUGAAGUUGA